AUCCUUAGCCCCCCCCCUGUAUCAUAGGGCCAGCUGUAUAUACUGGCCAGUAUAAUUUUUAAAUUGAAUCUCAUCAAGAUAAGUAUUCACUAUGCUAGCGACAAGAAGAAGUGCAUUAGCACCAAUAUGUCAUAUCCAAUAUGGCUUUCUAAUGGCAAAACAUGAUCUUCUAAAAUGUUUUCAAUGUACAUAUCAGUUGGCAUUCGCCUAAUCACCUUCACGUGUUCGGUAUGUCCUUUCAAAGCAGUACCGCUCCAUUAGGCAAUCCAAACCACGUGACCUCUGGUUGGCACACAAACUAACAAAGAGGUUAUGUUUGUAUCUAUUUUUCAAUGAUUUUUCAUUGUUUAUGGUCGUAUUUUGGAUUCAUUUGGAUUUCGUUUCCUGUUUUUGUGAACUUUAUAAACUUUACCACAAUGCAAAGUGUUUAUUUAAGGAAAUUAUUAUUGGAAACUCCAGAUGUUGCGAGAAAGAUAUUUAUUGAAGCUGAAAAUAAUUGGGGAUUUAGAUCCAUAGGCAAUUCAGUCAGAAUUGGAUUUUACAGUAAAGUGCAGUCCAUCAAGUUACUAUUAUAGAUAUUUGUACAUAUCUGGUGGAGUCUCAACAGUUGCUACUCUAAGCAGCAGAUGAAAGCAUACAAAAGCUUUCAGGCAUAUAAAUAUUUUACAGCAGGAUUUAUUUUAAAAGUUUUGGAGUAAAAAUUGUUAAUUGUUGGAAAGGUGAAGCAUUUCCAAAAAGCUAAUUCUAAACGACUAAAUGCUUGGGUGGGGUGAUAGCCAGUUCUGAUGACAUAGCAAAUGCACAUUGUAUGCGUGUGGCCCGUAAUAGUGAAGUCUGCAGCCAUAUUGCAGCAAUCCUAUUUUUAGCUGAGUAUGCCCAGGGCAACACAGACGAAGAAGAACCCAAUGCAUGUACAUAUGUUACAUGGUUUGGAGAUAGCAACAUAUGCAUUCUCUGAUGAAAAACUAAUGAGUUUUGAAACUGUUCGGUCAGAGUGCUUGUUGAGCUCACUAAACGAACUGAAAUAUAAGACAGCUUUGGCAUUGUGUUGCAGCGAUAUGAAAAUGGUUAUUCAUUUUUAAUUAUAAUGUACUUCUUCAUCAUGAGUAAUUUUGUAUUGGUCUUUUAAAUGUGUAUUUAUUUUUGUAAUUAGUAUCAACUUGUAAUGAUAAUAUACAUUUAUCGUUUAAGGUGUAUGUUUUGACUCUAAAAUAAAUGUUUUAAAAA